AGUUCGGACUGCAGUCUGCAACUCGACUGCACGAAGUCGGAAUUGCUAGUAAUCGCGGAUCAGCAUGCCGCGGUGAAUACGUUCCCGGGCCUUGUACACACCGCCCGUCACACCAUGAGAGUCGGGAACACCCGAAGUCCGUAGUCUAACCGCAAGGAGGACGCGGCCGAAGGUGGGCUUGAUAAUUGGGGUGAAGUCGUAACAAGGUAAC
rnacentral:rRNA from 1 species